UACGGGGGGGGCAAGCGUUGUUCGGAAUUACUGGGCGUAAAGGGCUCGUAGGCGGCCAACUAAGUCGGAUGUGAAAUCCCCAGGCUCAACUUGGGAACUGCAUCCGAUACUGGAUGGCUUGAAUUCGGGAGAGGGAUGCAGAAUUCCAGGUGUAGCGGUGAAAUGCGUAGAUAUCUGGAGGAAUACCGGUGGCGAAGGCGGCAUCCUGGACCGACAUUGACGCUGUGGAGCGAAAGCUAGGGGAGCAAACGGG
rnacentral:rRNA from 1 species